rnacentral:rRNA from 1 species
CGUGAUUUGGGCUAUAUUACGGACCCAAAAUUACUUUUUCAAGCAUUGUUUUCGAAUAUUUUUCAUGCAUCAAAGCUCGUUAAGACUAGAUGGGGUAUCCCUACAUGGCGGGUGGGACCCACGGCGAACGGUUCAUCAAGACUUAAAAAAAGAAUAUAUACGAUUGCAUUGCAUAUACUAACGGAUGCGAUCAUACCAGCACUAAUGCACCGGAUCCCAUCAGAACUCCGCAGUUAAGCGUGCUUGGGCGAGAGUAGUACUAGGAUGGGUGACCUCCCGGGAAGUCCUCGUGUUGCAUCCCUCUUUUUUUUUUUUUUUUUUUGGUUAAAACUUUAUGACUCUAUAACUUCUAUACCGUGAGGCCAAACUUGGCAUGUGAUACCUUUUCGGAAAGCCCAAAGAGAGCCCUCCGACGAAAGAAGCAAGACAAUGGAACUUUUCCAUUGACUUUUUGUCGACUCCAAAUUUUGACCUUUACGUACUUUUUCGGGGAAUC